UUGGCAUCGCCCAGAGUGGGUUUUUUCCAUCUAGUGACACUAAUAUACUCUUGAAUUUUACCCUCUACACUGUCGAUCAAUGAGAAAUUGUUUUAUGGGGAGCCCUCCAACACCAGGUCAAAAUAUCUCUGCAUUUUAGAGGACAGUGACUCAGAACCAGAGGUAGAUGACCCAGAAUUGCUUGAUAGUGAUGAAUACAGAUGCAGAGGUGUCAAGUGAUGAUGAGGAGGAAGAAAGGCCAGCCAAAAAGCAGAAAUUACUGGCAAGCUGCUUAGUUGCAAGUAUUGCAGAAGAAAGAAUUUUUGUUACAUCCUCAUCCUACUGUUCUGUAUGCAAAAUAAAUUAUGCAUAAACGAUAAAAAUUGCUUCAUAGACUUUCAUUCUAGCAAUUAGUAAUAUAGAAGGAUUGCUCUUCCUCAGGAAACUCAGGAAUAUAGGACUUGAAAGUUUUAUCCCUUUCCAAUAUGUCCAUGUUGCUAUGUGUUUCAUUUUUAUAUUUUUCUAAUACUUACAAAAUGUUUUGAUACAAGUUCCAUUUAUGUUUUUGAUACUGCCCGUUUGUAUAAUAAAUUUAAAAAAUAGUUA